rnacentral:rRNA from 1 species
CCUACGGGAGGCAGCAGUAGGGAAUAUUGCACAAUGGAGGAAACUCUGAUGCAGCGAUGCCGCGUGAGUGAAGAAGGCCUUUGGGCUGUAAAGCUCUUUCGUCGGGGAAGAAAAUGGCGGUACCCGAAUAAGAAGGUCCGGCUAACUUCGUGCCAGCAGCCGCGGUAAUACGAAGGGACCUAGCGUAGUUCGGAAUUACUGGGCUUAAAGAGUUCGUAGGUGGUUAAAAAAGUUGGUUGUGAAAUCCCGAAGCUUAACUUCGGAACUGCAAUCAAAACUUUUUAGCUAGAGUAUGAUAGAGGAAAGCAGAAUUUCUAGUGUAGAGGUGAAAUUCGUAGAUAUUAGAAAGAAUACCAAUUGCGAAGGCAGCUUUCUGGAUCAUUACUGACGCUGAGGAACGAAAGCAUGGGUAGCGAAGAGGAUUAGAUACCCUCGUAGUCCAUGCCGUAAACGAUGUGUGUUAGACGUUGGAAAUUUAUUUUCAGUGUCGCAGCGAAAGCAGUAAACACACCGCCUGGGGAGUACGACCGCAAGGUUAAAACUCAAAUGAAUUGACGG